rnacentral:rRNA from 1 species
GACGUAGGGUGCGAGCGUUGUCCGGAUUUAUUGGGCGUAAAGAGCUCGUAGGCGGCUCGUCGCGUCGACCGUGAAACCCGCGGCUUAACCGCGGGCUUGCGGUUGAUACGGGCGGGCUAGAGUUCGGUAGGGGAGACUGGAAUUCCUGGUGUAGCGGUGAAAUGCGCAGAUAUCAGGAGGAACACCGGUGGCGAAGGCGGGUCUCUGGGCCGAUACUGACGCUGAGGAGCGAAAGCGUGGGGAGCGAACAGG